GUCAAACCCAUCCUGGUAUCAACCUGCUUUUAGUACUUCCAGAUUCGUAAGUCAAGAAAUCCUCCUUCCUGCUUGUACCAGUUGGCAGUGGGUUUUCUGGCAUUUGUACCUGGUAUGUGUAGCAGCAACCACCAUUCUACUCUCUGUUUGAAUGAGUUUGAAACAUCCACAUCUGAGUGAGGUCAAUGCCGGUGAACAGAGAGACAGAGGGAAAGAAUUUCAGAAUAUCCUUAAAAAUCGCAGCACCUGGCAGAUCCUGCCUCACACCUCAAGGGCCUGUGUGGGGUCCUAGGUUCAUCCCUGAUCCAUCUCAGAGGUGCGGCGAUCACUGAUCCAUCUCGGAGACUUUUGAGCUUGGACCUGACAUUUGCCACUUCCUCUCCUCCUCACUGGAGACAGAGUGCAAUCUGUUUCUGCAAAGCAAGAGCACUUUAAGAGGGUGGAAGGGCACUCAUCUGUGUCAGGGUCAUGUCUGUGUGCAGAUCCCCCAAGGUCAUUGUUGAGAGAAAGGGGAAGAUGUUGGGGAGGCCGGGCAAGCAUGUGCCGGCUACCCUCACACUUGCACAUAGCAUAUGUCAAGUCACCUAAAGGAAACCUGAAUGAUAUGAUCAGAGACUCUGCAUAGGAUUACUUACUGGUGGUGCCCUGGGUUGAACACAGAGGUCGCCAAAGCAGGACCAGCCAUC
rnacentral:lncRNA from 10 species